CUCUCUCUCUCCCUACUCUCACUCCUUCUCCCUCUCUCAGAUGGAGCAGCCGUCGAUGGAGCAGAAAGGUCAUGCCAACGUGCCGUGGAUAGUGGAACCAGGGCAGGAGGCCAAGAGAGGAGCGAACACCAAAGCAAAGCCAAUUCUCCAGCACUAGGUUUGCGUGRUGAUGUUUUGGGGGAUUUUGUUGUCCAGUACUGGCAACCCAGAGGAAAGUGGAGGGAACAUUUGUUUAUCAGUUCCAUCCAGUUGGAGAGGAUAAUGGACUGCUAUGAGAGAUGAUGUAGCAAAUGUUACUUAACAAAAAAAAGUUGCUAGUUCAACAGACUCCUGUCUUGAUCAUAUAUCAGUCUUUGAUUUUUACAGCAGAUUAUUUUUUUGAGACAUAUUUUGAGAAUUUUUUGUGGCAAAGCGUUGUUUGUUUAUUUGAGACUAAUUGACCUUUGACACAGGAAGGAAUAGUUUUUAAACCACAUGCUAUACCUGUGUCCAGAUUGAAUUUGUUUAAAAUAGGUUAUUAUUACAUUUAUCAUUUUCUUUCUAUCCCUUUUUUGUUGGGAAAUGCUGAAAAGGUUUAGCUUGUGGCUUGUGAGGCMCAUGGAGUCCAUUUUGGACUGACUGGUAACGAGGGAGGGGCGGGGCCGGUGGAUAGAAGGCGGGGUUUGGGGACUCUGGAUAAGUGGUGUGAUCUCAUUUGCAGGGCAAUGCCGGACGCCCAUGUCUAUUACUGUGGAAUGCAAAGAAUGUAGCCAGCCUUAAACAUGGACCCUCUCACACACAAUGCAAAAAGGACUACAAAUGUGGACCCUUCUGUCUCUGUGUCAAAGGACUACAAACAUGGACACUCUCUAACGAACUUGGUGUUUAAGGUUGAUUACAAAACAAGGACAUCUUCCCACAAACCACAAAAACAUUCGACCAUGGACUAUCUGUGUACACACACACAACACACACACACACACACACACACACACACACACACACACACACACACACACACACACACACACACACACACACACACACACACACGCACACACACGCACAGAGAGUUAAGGGACUGCUUAGUAACAGAUGUCAGUCAGAUAUGUGAAUGUAGACUUUCAUUGAAGCAACUACAACUCUAGCCCCUGUUCUGCAUUCAAUUGGACCUUGACCUUUGAACUCUAUACCACGGUCACCCAAGGUCUGGACUGUAACGGACAACUGUCCACAAACGCACCACUGGGGCAUGUCUGUAUUUGAAUGGGGAUGAGGUAAAGGACUUCUGGUUGGCUCUUUUCCUCUUGUUUAAUGGUCAAUAAUACAAUAAUAUGGAUAGAAUUGGACUAGCCGUGCCGGACCACCAUGCAACAGGUGAGCCAUGUGCCAAGUGGCAUCACAAAGGAUGGCUCCGCCUACCUGAGCAAAACGCCAUCCAUCCCAAUUAAAGAAAUAUUCAUAUUAAUGCCGGACGUUUUAAAUGUUUCAUAUGAGAGUAUUAUAUUACCUUAUGAUUAUUCUUGUGUAAUUCUUGUCUACUCUUGUCUUAAUGUUACAUUAUUUUUAUAUGAUAUGCUGAAAUGAAAAAAUCCGGGCUUGAGAAUGAUUGCCAUCCUUUAAAAAAAAAUACCAUAAUAGUUCUAUACUGAGAGUGAAUGUUUCAGAUGGCUCCUCUCCUUAUGAUUAAUAAUAAUAGCUAUUAUUAUUUGUAUUAUUAUUGGUGUGUCCGGUCAACACACCAAUCUGUUUCUCAUGGGGCUAGACUCAUAACUCCAAGCAGAUAUAAUAUUUUGCCACAGUGUUUAUGUAUUCUUUGGAUGCAUACAUAGUCCUCUCUAAAUGUACAUAGAUAUUUUGCCAGCUCAUUGUUCAUACAUGUAAUGUAGUAAAACAUUUACAAAAAUAAAGGAAUAAAAUAUUUGCCGCACAUCGCACUGGAAACAAGGUACCAAAAUGAAAAGGUCAGAGUUGAAAAUAAAAUCUAUGGUUCUAGAGAUUGUAUUGGGGAGGGUUGGGACAGGGGGUGACGACAUCACUGCUGACUAACUCAUGUACAUAGGCUUGGGCUUCCAGCACAGAUUUUGUACGUUUUGGUCAUUAUUUAUAUCCUUGUAAAUCACAUGGAAUAAACACAACUUGUACAACCAUUAAUCAACA